AUGUUUAUUCACCAAACACAGAGAUGGCCCUCUAGGUUCUCCUCCACCAUCCAACCCUCUUCUACCUCAGGGAAGAGUGGUCACCAGCCCACUCCCAGGCCAGGAUCCCAGCACACUCACCUCUGGAGACUGGCUACGACGAGGGGCAUCCAGACUGCUCCUGCAGCGAGAGAGACUCUGGUUAGACACAAGGAAGAACUUGCUGCCACUGAGGGAUGUUCAGCUCGGAGAGAGAAGGGGAGUCUCCUGAAGUGCCAUGGCAUUUCGAAUUGAGGAGGCAAUGGCAUUUGUCAUUUGUGUUAACAAUACGCCACACCAUUGAAAACUGUACAAUGGCUGCAGCCAGCAGUCUAGGAAGUUUCGCAUCUGAAAUCAAAAGCUAGAGCCACGAAAACAGCAGGUCGUGGUGGAACUGCCUCUAAAAUAAAUGGAAACACUCGCCUGACUAAUUUGAAAUUCAACUCACAAAAAGGAAACAAAGCCAAAUUGUUCUUUUCCUGUUUCUAAUAUUUUUGCUCUCACAUUUGGAUUAGUUAAUCCAACUACCUGUUUGUGGGUGGGCCUGCUGGGGACCAGAAUGGAGCGCUAACUUGCCCAAAGGCACACAGUGUGGCAGGCAUGUUUGGCCUGACCCCUUUCUACCUCUCCGGCAGGCAAUUCAGUGUUGGGAAAAUCUUGGCUACAACGAAAUGGUAUUCCUAGAAGCAGCUAGGCACUGCAAUUUGGUUUGUUGUGGGGCUUUGCAGUUUCUAAACUAAAUGAUUUAUUAAGAAUAGAUGUGUGAGGCCGGGCGUGGUGGCUCCUGCCUGUAAUCCCAGCUACUCCGGAGGCUAAAGCAGGAGAAUCGCCUGGACCCAGGAGACAGAGGUUGCAGUGAGCCAAGAUUGCACCAUUGCACUCCAGCCCGAGCAACAAGAACAAAACUCCAUCUCAAAGAAAAGGACUAGAUGUGUGAGAUACUAUCUCACGCCAGUUAGAAUGGCGAUCAUUAAAAAGUCAGGAAACAACAGAUGCUGGAGAGGAUGUGGAGAAAUAGGAAUGCUUUUACUCUAUUGGUGAUAGUGUAAAUUAAUUCAACCAUUGUGGAAGACAGUGUAGCGAUUCCUUGAGGAUCUAGAACCAAAAAUACCAUUUGAUCCAGGAAUCUCAUUACUGGAAAUAUACCCGAAGGAUUAUAAAUCAUUCUACUAUAAAGAUACAUGCACAUGUAUGUUUAUGGCAGCACUAUUCAUAAUAGCAAAGACUUGGAACCAACCCAAAUGCCCAUCAAUGACAGACUGGUUAAAGAAAAAGUGGCAUAUAUACACCAUAGAAUACUAUGUAGCCAUAAAAAAGGAUGAGUUCACGUUCUUUGUAGGGACAUGGAUGAAGCUGGAAACCAUCAUUCUCAGCAAACUAACACAGGAACAGAAAACUAAACACUGCAUGUUCUCGUAAGUGGGAGCUGACAAUGAGAACACAUGGACACAGGGAGGGGAACAUCAUACACCGGGUCCUCUCCAGGUGGGAGUAGCUAGGGGAGGGAUAUCAUUAGGAUAAAAACCUAAUGUAGAUGAUGGGUUGACAGGUGCAGCAAACCAUCAUGGCACAUGAUACCUAUGUAACAAACAUGCACGUUCUACACAUAUAUCCCAGAACUUAAAGUAUAAUCUAAAAAAAUAAGAACAGAUUUGAAAGCAGCAAAAGGGGUUGAUUUCAAUGCUUCAUCUAUGGGAAGAUUGCCAUGAUCUCUCAGCAUUUCUAUCCUAAGCUGCUCCCUCCCCUAGGAGGUGCUUUAUGUGAACCUGGGGCUGGGAGAUUCUGUGUGGGAACUGAGCUGGAGAAAAGAUCAUUUGAGGAAGAUAGCCUCAUAUUUCAGUGGUCACUGCACAGACUGUCUUCAUGGUGCUUGAAUAAAAAGCAGGAGGUUUCAUACUGAAGUUGUUUCUCUUUGGCUAGUCCUUCUACAGAGCUUUGGGGAUGAAUUCAUUCCGAAGGCAAUAUUUUCUAAAUUGCCAGUGUGACUCUGAAGCCAACUUCAUUCUGCUUUUGGUUUAUUCCUAAACUUGAUAGAAUCCCAAGUGUUAAUCUCCGGCUGAUAUCUAACCAUCCUCUUCCACUACGCUGUCAUGGCGGGGAUUUAUGGCUGGGUGACGAGCUGCCACAUCUCUCUGAACCCUGAUGAAGACACAGAUAACAUCAUCAACUCAUCACUGAACCAUCCCCAUCAACCCCGCUUUAAUCACCCCCAAGACUGAUAACCAUUGGAGGCUGUUAAUACCUAGCAAAUUAUCUAAUCCACAUGUUGUUCGAUCUAUGUAAACUCCAGCCCAUGAGGAUCAUAAAAUAAAUAAGCGUGAAAUGGCUUGCAGUUUUGAAUCUCCUCUCACCUAGAUAGGCCAGGCUGUGUGAUUUCAGCCGCUGUUAUGGCUCCCACCUCCUUCCUAGAGGGAAUGAGCAGCACAGGUUCCUAUGUGGGCCUAUUGGAGACUGUUUCUGGGAUGGAGGCCACACACACACACCCCUGUCUGUCCCUCCUGCUCUCCCUCCCACAUCCCAAAUGAAGUCAAGGCUUCAUUUCACUGAUAUGUUAAUCACUGAAAUAGUCUUUUCCUGCAAGACACAGGCAUGGUGAAUUAAGAUGCUGGAUGAUUUGCAAAACGAAAAGCAAGCUGUUCCUUGAAAAACAGAGGGCUGGUAGGAAUUUGUAAUGAUGAGAGGCAGGCAGAGAGGGGAGACAGAAAAGGAGGUCGGCAGCUCUAGGGGAUGUAAGGAGCGAUAAAAUUAGACUGCGUUGUCUAGACAUAAGCACAGGGUUACUGAGAGGUUUUGCGUGUGUGUGUGUGUGUGUGUGUGUGUGUGUGUGUGUGUGUGUGAAUAGGGCCCAGCCAAAUGGCCUCUAAAUCCCUUUUUGUUGCUGAAAUUCGUCAAGGCUAUGUCUAAAAGCCUAUAAUUCUAAAAUUCUGUAAUUCAUAGAUCUGAUACUUCUCUAACAAAACAGACACUCCCUGAUUCUAAGGUUCUGUGAUUCUAAGAGUUUGUAAUCCAGUGAGUCUGUAAUUAUAAACUGCUAUGAUUCUCUAAUUCUAGACACUAUGGUUCUAAUUCUACCAUUCCAUGAUGCUAAUAUCCUGUGAUUCUAAGAUUCUAUCAUUCAGUGUUUCUUUAAUUUAAUAUCCGCCAUUCUCAAGUUCUAUAAUGGAAGAGGCCAUGAUUCUGUAUUUCUAUAAAUUUAUUCUUUGAUAUUUCUAAUGCUCUACAAUUCUAGUAUUCUAGAAUUUUGAUUUCAUAAUCCU
ensembl:lncRNA